rnacentral:rRNA from 1 species
UACGUAGGGGGCUAGCGUUGUCCGGAAUCAUUGGGCGUAAAGCGCGUGUAGGCGGCCCGGUAAGUCCGCUGUGAAAGUCGGGGGCUCAACCCUCGAAUGCCGGUGGAUACUGUCGGGCUAGAGUACGGAAGAGGCGAGUGGAAUUCCUGGUGUAGCGGUGAAAUGCGCAGAUAUCAGGAGGAACACCUGUGGUGUAGACGGCUCUCUGGACAGUAACUGACGCUGAGACACGAAAGCGUGGGUAGCAAACAGG